CCUGGAGAAACCUACCCUGCCCACUCGUGGGGCAGUAGUGAGCCUGGGUGUGAAUUGAUGAAUGUAAAUAUAAAAUCUCCCCAACAGGCUCGUGUGUCGAAUGCUUGGUCUCCUGCUAGUGGCCCUGUUUUGGGAGGUCAUGAAACCUUAGGAAGGAGGAAGGAGGUCCCAGGCAGUGUGUCCUUGAAGGUUGUACCUUGUCUUUUGUCUCAAACUUCUGAUCUUAUGAGGUAAAGACUCUGACCAUCAUGAUGUUCUGCCCAAGCACGAGGUCGAGCUAGCGUAACCUGAAUGAACACUCUGAAACCGUGAACGAAAGUAAAUUCUUCCACCCUUACGCCAAUUGUCUUAGGAGUUUGUUCACAACAACUAAAUCAUCACACAGGUGGUGCCACACUUGAGAGCAGGAGCGACCAUUUGGGAAGAGCUGCUCCGCACUGGGCAGGAGGCGGCAGCUCCCAGUAAAGCCUGAGCUGUGCACUGACUCCUGAGGGCCCUGCAGAAAGCGGCAUGGCCCAGAGUUUCCUACCCAAGAACCGGAAGGACUUCAGACCCUCCUUAGUCUCUCAGUACUGGCUUCUUGGCUCAAGUGAGGACACCCAUCAACUUAAAGACCCUGGGAACUCCGCAUGAAUGUUGCCAUGAAGCCAUCCUUUGCUGCCACGAGCCUGCAGUUGUGGAAGCAAAUUUUGAGACGUGAAAGCCCGCAGCCAGGAUCCCUCAGCUAAGAGGACGAGGUUGCACUGAUGCUCUGGCCUUCAAACUCUGGUGCCUUUUGCUUCCCCUCCAACCAGACACCAGCUGACCAGUGGAGUUUCACAUCAGCAUAACCAGGAGCCAUUUCCAGAGUCCCAAGCCCUUAGCGUCCUCCACAUGCACGGCGUUCCUGACUCUGUGGGCCUCCAGAGACGUGUCCCCCAGGUCAGAGACACAGUUUCACACACAGAGAUUCUGAGAAAUGGGUCUUCCGGUUUUCGCUUCCCCCAGAGUUCACCUGCCGCUGCUGACCUUGACAUUAACCACGGCAAACACAGGGGACAGGAAGUCCCUGUUUGUUUAUGUCAGUCUCUUCCCUUUGACCUGUACGUCUGCUCUACUUAGACGGCUUCUCGUGAAGGUCCGCACCUUUCACACA